rnacentral:rRNA from 1 species
GACGAACGCUGGCGGCGUGCUUAACACAUGCAAGUCGAACGCUGAAGCUUGGUGCUUGCACUGGGUGGAUGAGUGGCGAACGGGUGAGUAAUACGUGAGUAACCUGCCCUUGACUCUGGGAUAAGCCUGGAAAACUGGGUCUAAUACUGGAUACGACAUGCCACUGCAUGGUGGUGUGUGGAAAGGGUUUUACUGGUUUUGGAUGGGCUCACGGCCUAUCAGCUUGUUGGUGGGGUAAUGGCCUACCAAGGCGACGACGGGUAGCCGGCCUGAGAGGGUGACCGGCCACACUGGGACUGAGACACGGCCCAGACUCCUACGGGAGGCAGCAGUGGGGAAUAUUGCACAAUGGGCGGAAGCCUGAUGCAGCGACGCCGCGUGAGGGAUGACGGCCUUCGGGUUGUAAACCUCUUUCAGCACGGAAGAAGCGAGAGUGACGGUACGUGCAGAAGAAGCGCCGGCUAACUACGUG